rnacentral:rRNA from 1 species
GAAUGGCCAUGCACCACCACCCGUAGAUUUAUCUGGUUAAUUCCGUUAACGAACGAGACCUCAGUUUGCUAACUAGCUAUGCCGAUGUAACCCUUCGUAGCCAGCUUCUUAGAGGGACUAUGACCUUUUUGGCUGUGGAAGUUUGAGACAAUAACAGGUCUGUGAU